CUCACACAUGCACAAUACUCUCACGUGUAUAUACACACACAUGUGCACACACAUGUAUCAUCUCACACUUGCAUAUACACACGCACACUUUCACAUGUGCACACACAUGCACAUUUUCACAUAUGGAUGUACAUACACUCUCAGUGCUCAUACACUCACACGUUCACACAUGCACACUCUCACAUGUGCUUACACACAUAUGCACACUUUCAUACAUGCGCACACACAUGUCACUCUCACAUGUGCACACACGUAUCUCUCACACAUUGUCUGCCUCUCUCUCACACACUUUUGAUGCAAGCCGGGUAUGUUGUGCUUAAACAUGGAGUGACUCACAGCCAGAUGGAGCAGCUGCUGGAGUGCUGGGGAUAUCGCGGAAUUACUCAGGAAUCUGUAUUUUUUAAAUAUCCAGCUCCUGGCCCUGUGUCAGUAUGUAAGAGAAGCCCAUUUUGGAUCCUGGCUGCACACUCCCUUUGUGAUCUCGGCCAUGUCUCCCAGUUUCUUCCAGCUUCAGUGUCCCAUUUGACUGGGGCUGACAGCAGUACGUGUGCCUCCAGAGCCGUGACAGGGCUCAACACCGUGAUGUAGGAAAGCUUGUGAUGGUCAGGACCUUUGGGAAGUAGGUACAAAGGUCAUUAUGUUACUUCCUGCACCAGAGUCAUCCUUGCGGGGAGUGGCCCAUGUUCAGGGAGGAGGCCCGAUGAGCUGUUGAAGGGGAGGGGACUGGAGAGAGAGACAGGGAUGGGAGGGACAGAAGGACGUGUGGCUUAGCUGGAAGAGGCCUGGUGGGAAGGAAGCAGAAGCUCUGCCUGACCCAGGGAAGGGGCUUGGUGGAUCCUGAGGCGGGAAGUUCCAGGAUUUCCGCUGGGCCCUUGAGGAAAGAAGAAAGGAAUCGCCGUGAUGGCCCCAGGCCACGGCCCAGCAGCCCGGAGCUUUCGGCCUGCGCGCAGCGAAGUCCGCUCCAACGACGCCGGGUCGAGCUAGGGAAGUAACUUGACCAAAGUCACAAUUCCCCGACGGCGACGUUUGACGAGGGAAGAUGCCACCAACUGCCUGACCGCCGUGAGUGAGCUCCCCUUUGGGCUGACGGGUCACGGUCGUGUUUGGAGUCCCAGGGUCACCGUCCACCUGAAGCUGGUGGUCACCGUCCGGAAGGGCGGCCUCCUCGCCCUCCAGCAACCUGCAUAUGACAGGUUUAGAUUGACAGAAAGAUGUUGAAGAUAGUCAAUCGGAGUUGACGUCUUACAGGGGGCGGCGGGUUGUCACAGCGGAUGAACCUGUAGGGACCGUCGUUGCCACCGAAGCCCACACCGUGUCCGGAGUCCCGGGCCCUCCCCUCGCGCCCGUUCCCUGCUUCGCGGUCCCACCCGGGACACCACGUCGCAGUCAGUCAUGUCUGAACCGUCAAGAAACUGACGGUUUCUUAGGUUUUCCCUCGUUUUGUUGAUCGUGAGUUUUGAGAAGGGCUGGGACGAUCCCGGGUGGGGCUUGUGGGAUGUUUCUCUGGCCGAUUAGACUCUGGCGGGAGAUUUUAGGGGGAAGACCACGGAGGGGGUGCCCUUCUCACCAGGUCACGGGUGCACGUGAUCAAUGGAGCCAGUCGCUGCGGCGUCGGCCUUGGCCACCUGCUGAGGGCGCUGCUGGUUCCUCGCCUGGAGGGGGAGUUGCCCCAGGAGGGGGCAUCCGCGCAGGGCAUCGAAUUCGUCUGCAGAGAGUCUGCCUCGCCCCCCACUGUGCGUGUAGUCAUCUGUUUAUAUCAAUGGGAAUUUGUGAAUUUUUGUUGCGCUUUGGGUUAAAAUUCGGUCCUGUGUUUUGUUGUUCUGUUGCAGCUUUGGCCAUUGGACACGUGUGUAUGUGUCCAUGUGUGUGUCUGUGGUACGUGUGUGUGCCCAUGUGUGUAGGUGUUUGUGUGCAUGUGUCUGUACGUGUGUGUAUCGGCGGUGUGUGUGUAUCUGUGUCUGUGUCUGUGUGUAUCUGUGUCUGGGGCACUUCCUCACUCUCUGACACCGUGUGAUGUGUUGGUUUUCAGCGGCUCAGGAGUGGAUUCUUGCUGGGCUGUGGUUCAACCAGGAUGGGGACCAGGACAGGGACAAGGACCAGGACGGGGACCAGGAUGGGGUCCAGGACAGGGACCAAGAUGGGGACUAGGACAGAGACCAGGAGCAGGACAGAAGCCAGGACCAGGACUGAGACCAGGACAGGGACAAGGACCAGGAUGGGGACCAGGACAAGCACCAGGACAGAGACCAGGUCCAGGAUGGAGACCAGGACCAGGACAGAGACCAGGACAGGGAAAAGGACCAGGACGGGCACCAGGAAGGAGACCAGGAUGGGGACCAGGACG